CAGCAGCCGCCGCGGUAAAACAGAGGGUGCGAGCGUUAAUCGGAUUUACUGGGCGUAAAGCGUGCGUAGGCGGCUUUUUAAGUCGGAUGUGAAAUCCCUGAGCUUAACUUAGGAAUUGCAUUCGAUACUGGGAAGCUAGAGUAUGGGAGAGGAUGGUAGAAUUCCAGGUGUAGCGGUGAAAUGCGUAGAGAUCUGGAGGAAUACCGAUGGCGAAGGCAGCCAUCUGGCCUAAUACUGACGCUGAGGUACGAAAGCAUGGGGAGCAAACAGGAUUAGAUACCCCCGUAGUCCCUGUCUCUUAUAC
rnacentral:rRNA from 1 species